UACAGAGGUCUCAAGCGUUGUUCGGAUUCAUUGGGCGUAAAGGGUGCGUAGGUGGCGCUGUAAGUCGGGUGUGAAAUUUCGGAGCUUAACUCCGAAACUGCAUUCGAUACUGCGGUGCUUGAGGACUGGAGAGGAGACUGGAAUUCAUGGUGUAGCAGUGAAAUGCGUAGAGAUCAUGAGGAAGACCAGUGGCGAAGGCGGGGCUCUGGACAGUUCCUGACACUGAGGCACGAAGGCCAGGGGAGCAAACGGG
rnacentral:rRNA from 1 species